rnacentral:rRNA from 1 species
GACGAACGCUGGCGGCGUGCUUAACACAUGCAAGUCGAACGGAAAGGCCCCUUUGGGGGUACUCGAGUGGCGAACGGGUGGGUAACACGUAAGUAACCUGCCCUUGACUUCGGGAUAACUUCAGGAAACUGGGGCUAAUACCGGAUAGGAAUCCUUUCUGCAUGGUGGGGGUUGGAAAGCUUCGGCGGUUUUGGAUGGACUCGCGGCCUAUCAGCUUGUUGGUGGGUUAGUGGCUUACCAAGGCUUUGACGGGUAGCCGGCCUGAGAGGGCGACCGGCCACAUUGGGACUGAGAGACGGCCCAGACUCCUACGGGAGGCAGCAGGGGGGAAUAUUGCACAAUGGGCGGGAGCCUGAUGCAGCAACGCCGCGGGCGGGAUGACGGUCUUCGGGUUGUAAAACGCUUUCAGCAGGGGAGAAGCUUGUGGUGACGGUACCUGCAGAAGAAGCACCGGCUAACUACGUG